GUAGUAAUAAGAUCAUUUCUAAGGUUUUUUUCCUGGUCUAUGAUUUCAUGAGUCUAUAAAAUGUGUACCUGGAGGACGUAAGGAAGGAAAUGUAACAUUGAUUUUGCAGUUUAAACUGUCUCUGUUUUUUUUUAAUGUACAAUAUGAAAAACUCAAAUAAUAAUUAAGAGGACUAUAAUUAUCCAUAAUUAAAAUUAUAGUAUUUUAACAGUUUUUGAGGUGUUUUCUUUUAAAAUCUAUCCAUGUGCAUAGUUAUUUCCACAAAUGUGCACCCAUAAUUCUGGUUCCUUCUGGUUAUUUUUCAGUGACUUUUGCUCUCAGGAGAUAAAUUUAAGGAAAUAAGUGUGCUUUCCUGGAUUCUGCUAGUUUUUAAUCCUGGAAACCACUGGCAGCUGUGGUGGGUAGGAACCGCAUGUUAAAAAUGUCCAAAGCCGCAAAGGCUUCUUUGAAAACUGAUUUUGUGAUUUGUGGGCAUUUCCUAAACUGUAUUGUUCUA
rnacentral:lncRNA from 1 species